rnacentral:rRNA from 1 species
GAUGAACGCUGGCGGCGUGCCUAAUACAUGCAAGUCGAGCGAACGGACGAGAAGCUUGCUUCUCUGAUGUUAGCGGCGGACGGGUGAGUAACACGUGGAUAACCUACCUAGAAGACUGGGAUAACUUCGGGAAACCGGAGCUAAUACCGGAUUAUAGUUUCAACCGCAUGGUUCAAAAGUGAAAGACGGUCUUGCUGUCACUUAUAGAUGGAUCCGCGCGGCAUUAGCUAGUUGGUAAGGUAACGGCUUACCAAGGCAACGAUGCAUAGCCGACCUGAGAGGGUGACCGGCCACACUGGAACUGAGACACGGUCCAGACUCCUACGGGAGGCAGCAGUAGGGAAUCUUCCGCAAAGGGCGAAAGCCUGACGGAGCAACGCCGCGUGAGUGAUGAAGGUCUUCGGAUCGUAAAACUCUGUUAUUAGGGAAGAACAUAUGUGUAAGUAACUGUGCACAUCUUGACGUUACCUAAUCAGAAAGCCACGGCUAACUACGUG